AUUGAACGCUGGCGGCAGGCCUAACACAUGCAAGUCGAGCGGUAACAGGAAGAAGCUUGCUUCUUUGCUGACGAGUGGCGGACGGGUGAGUAAUGUCUGGGAAACUGCCUGAUGGAGGGGGAUAACUACUGGAAACGGUAGCUAAUACCGCAUAACGUCGCAAGACCAAAGAGGGGGACCUUCGGGCCUCUUGCCAUCGGAUGUGCCCAGAUGGGAUUAGCUAGUAGGUGGGGUAACGGCUCACCUAGGCGACGAUCCCUAGCUGGUCUGAGAGGAUGACCAGCCACACUGGAACUGAGACACGGUCCAGACUCCUACGGGAGGCAGCAGUGGGGAAUAUUGCACAAUGGGCGCAAGCCUGAUGCAGCCAUGCCGCGUGUAUGAAGAAGGCCUUCGGGUUGUAAAGUACUUUCAGCGGGGAGGAAGGGAGUAAAGUUAAUACCUUUGCUCAUUGACGUUACCCGCAGAAGAAGCACUGGCUAACUCCGUG
rnacentral:rRNA from 1 species